UACGAAGGGGGGCUAGCGUUGUUCGGAAUUACUGGGCGUAAAAGCGCACGUAGGCGGAUAUUUAAGUCAGGGGGUGAAAAUCCCCAGAGCUCAACUCUGGAACUGCCCUUUGAUACUGGGUAUCUCGAGUAUGGAAGAGGUGAGUGGAAUUCCGAGUGUAGAGGUGAAAUUCGUAGAUAUUCGGAGGAACACCAGUGGCGAAGGCGGCUCACUGGUCC
rnacentral:rRNA from 1 species